AGAAGACAGAAACCUGCCCUAACUCUCUCCUUACCCUUCUGGGUUCUCACUGGCUUAAUCCAACAGGAAACUAAAAGAUAAGCAAACUAAUUAAUGGAGUCCAUAAAAUUAAUGCAUAGAGCAGGCUUGGGAAAAGAUAAAGAGUAUGCCUGGAGAUUCAAACGAAAGAUACCAAAGAUUCAUAAGGAGGUAGGUAGCCUUAGGGGACAUUUGAAUAUCAACAGUGUUGCUUUCCAUGUAACCAGCAUGAAUCCUGCUGGGACAAAUCUUAUCCCCAUGUCUUUGGAAAUAGAGAGGAUAAAAAAUGAUGAUGAUGAUGAUGAUGACAGAGGAGAAAGAGAUAUGAAGAAGGAGGAGGUAAAGGAAUAAAUAACACAAAAAAUGCUACUAAUUUUAAAACCUGUGCAUUUAAUAACCAUUUGUUGAAUACAUCCUAAGUGUUAGAUGGUGAGCAAACCACUGAUGACAAGAAGAGAAGACAUGGUCUCUAUACUUAGGAGCUUCCUAUUUAUUGGAGAAAUCAGCUCUGUGAAUUGAUCAAGUACAGCAUUAGCUACUACAUUUAUUACAAAUAAAUUUAAUGCAACUAGCUUCUAUGGCUAUUUUAUUCAUUGUAAUUAUGAUUAUUUAUAGUUAUUGUUAAGCUUUACAUGUAUCAGGCAGGCUGCUCAACUACUUAAAUCAGACCUACCUCAUAUGACCAGGAGAGGAUUAAGUUCAAUUGUCUACUACUAUCUUCACUUUACAGAUGAUGAAGUUGACACUUAGGAAGUGUGAGUUUUAUUCAAAGUCUUCUGGUUAGUAAGAGGUAGAGCUGCGAUUGAGACACAAGCAUUCCGAUUCUAGAGACACACACUCCUAACCACUACAAGGCACUGCCACCUGGGGUGAGACCACAGUGGUUUUCCUUGAAACAUGCAUGCAAUCUGUACUUUUUCAAAAUCCAAGGGAGUUUUCUUGAUCUAUCAAUUUACCAUGUUCCUUUUUAUCCCUCUCAAUUUACUAAUUGCAUCAAAUAUUACAUUAGGUCAGCAUUACACUAAUUGGCACCAUUUUGUUUACUAAAUGAUGACAGGGUAGAAUGGCGUUUCCUUUCCUUGAGGCCCAUCAUUAAAAUGAUUAUUCCCCAGGGGGUGACGUGGAAAGUAGGAAUGAGCUACACUGCAGCAUGCAUGGAUACCUGUGGCCUUUAACAAAGAGGAUGGCCUUACCCCAAAUUAUUCCAUCUGGCAGAGCUGUUACCUGCUGUAGUUCACACAUGAAUGGCAAUGAUUUGCAUGCAAAUAGAAGCCUACAUGCUUUCUCGGAGCUAAGAGCUGUAUUUCAACAUUUCACAGUGGAAUUAGCAGUGGACAGGAUGCUGCAGCUUUGUGGAUAUGCCAGCUAAAACCCUUCUAAAUACCAAGCUCUGUGUUUCACAGCAAGAUUGUUUAUUGAACCAGUUCGUGGAAGCUCCAAAGACUCCUCUGCUGAAACACCGCCAGCUCCAAGCUCUGAUUUUGACAUUGAUAUUGUCAGAUGAGAUUAAGCACUGGUCGUAAUGAAUGCUGGCAGACUUCUGUUGAGGUAUGAUCACCCGUGUUCCUGUGGCUAAGUAGCAAAGCUCUAGACAGGAGCGAAGCUGUGGUCUUGGGAGUUAUUAGUUGCUGUUUUUGUUUCUUUUUCCUGCUCCCUAAUAUGGUUUGGCUGUGUGUCCCCACCCAAAUCAUCUUGAAGUAUAACUCGUAAUUCCCACAUGUUGAGGGAGGCACUCAGUGGGAGGUAAUUGAAUCAUGGGGGCAGGUCUGUCUUCUGCUGUUGUCAUAAUAGUGAAUAAAUCUCACGAGAUCUGAUACUUUUAAAAAGAGGAGUUCCCCUGCACAAGCUCUCUCUCUUUUGCCCACCACCAUCCACGUAAGAUGUGACUUGCUCCUCCUUGCCUUCUACCACGAUUGUGAGGCCUCCCCAGCCAUGUCGAAGUGUAAGUCCUGGAAGAACCAGAAUCCUAGGAGCAUGGAAGACUUAAUUCAUUCAACAGUAACCACCUCUUUUUAGCCUAAGACUUUGGCAGCCGAACAACAGAACAGGAAUUAUGUCAGCUUUUCUGCUUAGCAUGAGCUCUGCCCCAGAACCAAUGACAUAAAAUACGUAUGUUUGCUUUCCCUGCCACAAAGUUGCGACACAUUAUCAAAGCUUUACAAAGUCACUCUAUCUUAGGACACCCCUAGACAACUUGUUUCCAUCUUACUUCUGGGACAAAAAUAUUUACUGUAUCCUGCUUUCAUUGUCUUUGUGAAUAUUACAUUAAAUGUUGACAUGUGCUUGGCAAUUCAAAUUCAUUGGUUAAAUGUUUU
rnacentral:lncRNA from 1 species